UACGUAGGGACCAAGCGUUGUUCGGAUUUACUGGGCGUAAAGGGCGCGUAGGCGGCAAUUCAAGUCAUCUGUGAAAUCUCCGGGCUUAACUCGGAACGGUCAGAUGAUACUGCUUUGCUAGAGUACAGAAGGGGCAAUCGGAAUUCUUGGUGUAGCGGUGAAAUGCGUAGAUAUCUGGAGGAACACCGGUGGCGAAGGCGGCAUCCUGGACCAACACUGACGCUGAGGAGCGAAAGCCAGGGGAGCAAACGGG
rnacentral:rRNA from 1 species